rnacentral:snRNA from 1 species
GUGCUUGCUUCGGCAGCACAUAUACUAAAAUUGGAACGAUACAGAGAUGAUUAGCAUGGCCCUGCGCAAGGAUGGCAUGCAAAUUCAUGAAGCACUCCAUAUUUUU